GGUAUAGCUCAGUUUGUAGAGUGCUUGCCUCCCAUGCACAAGGCCCUGGGUUUAAUUCCCAGAACCA
rnacentral:tRNA from 1 species